UACGGAGGGUGCGAGCGUUGUCCGGAAUCAUUGGGCGUAAAGCGCACGUAGGCGGUCCGUUAAGUCUCUUGGUGAAAGGCUGGGGCUCAACCCUAUGCAUGCCGGGGAUACUGGGGGACUGGAGACAGGUAGAGGCGAGCGGAAUUCCGGGUGUAGCGGUGGAAUGCGUAGAGAUCCGGAAGAACACCGGAGGCGAAGGCGGCUCGCUGGACCAGUACCGACGUUCAGGCACGAAAGCGUGGGGAGCAAACAGG
rnacentral:rRNA from 1 species